UGAACGCUGGCAGCAUGCCUAACACAUGCAAGUCGAACGGAAACGACAGGAGCUUGCUCCUGGGCGUCGAGUGGCGGACGGGUGAGUAAUGCAUAGGAAUCUGCCCAUGUAGUGGGGGACAACCUGGGGAAACUCAGGCUAAUACCGCAUGAGCCCUUCGGGGGAAAGCAGGGGAUCUUCGGACCUUGCGCUAUUGGAUGAGCCUAUGCCUGAUUAGCUUGUUGGUGGGGUAACGGCCUACCAAGGCGACGAUCAGUAGCUGGUCUGAGAGGACGAUCAGCCACACUGGGACUGAGACACGGCCCAGACUCCUACGGGAGGCAGCAGUGGGGAAUAUUGGACAAUGGGCGCAAGCCUGAUCCAGCAAUGCCGCGUGUGUGAAGAAGGCCUGCGGGUUGUAAAGCACUUUCAGUGGGGAGGAAAAGCUCAAGGUUAAUACCCUUGGGUCUUGACGUUAUCCACAGAAGAAGCACCGGCUAACUCU
rnacentral:rRNA from 1 species